rnacentral:lncRNA from 1 species
GAUCAAAAUGAUUUAUUUGACUCAACUGAUCAAAAUGAUUUAUUUGACCCAACCACUUUUUUUCCUUAUUAUUCAACUGUGAAAACUUUUUCUUUAUUUUAAUAUUUUGGUUUGUCCUAAUAAGCAAAUUUUUUAGAUUUUUUUUUUAAGGAACUCUUUUCCUCCAAAAUUAGAAUAUAAAAAUCUUUAAAACUUUUACAGAAUAGACAAACUGUUUAUCUAGCAGUUGGAGUCACUGAUAUGUAGCUUGGAGAAUCAAAAAGUCACAUUACUGCUGAUAGCCUAUUUUUCUGACAGUCAUAUGUGAAACUUUCAUUAAUGACAUUUAUUGUUCUAAUUUUUAAUGCUUUAACAAUAUAAACAAAAUUCCACUGCAUGAAACACCCACAGACAUAGGGCAGAUUUCUUCAGUGCAAUAUAUGAUUAUAAAAGAUAACUACCAGCCUGUUCAGCUGAUAGUCAGAUGUGAAUUAAAGUCAAGUCAUUUCUAAAACAGCGUUAAUUUAGAGUCAAGGUGAACAGCAGUUUACCCUUGUAUGCGUUGUGGAUUUCUUGCUUAUUUGCUUUUUUAUCCAUCUCAUAAGCGAAGGUCAGAUUUUCAAUUCUAUUGCUUUCAGAGGAUUUUAAUGCUAAAUUUUUGCUCAUUUUUCUGUAUUUAUCUUUACUUACUGUAGAUUUUUUUAUGUUGUAUUAACCUAUUUUCUGGAGUUUCCAGUGCCCAGUCAUUUCUAGUGCAAGCAGUGAGAGUUUUCAAAGUCCCUUUCUCCUGUCCUCUCUUUCCUGUGCUCUCCCUUCUCUCUCUCUUUUUCUCUUUCUCUCUCUCUCUCUCUCUCUCUCUCUCUCUCUCUCUCUCUCGCCUCUCUUGCAUUAUAAAUGCCGCUAUCUCCAUCUGCUGCCCUGUAAAUUGGUGUGCGGCAGGAGCACAGGUAGAACAUGAAGCAGGUGAAGCUGUUUGGCAUAGAGCAGUGUGCUGGACUGAAACCUCAAAGGCAAUUACUGGCACGUCCUGCAGAGAAGAAAUUGCACAAAAGGUAUUGGUACUGCUGCAUUGCUCUUGCGGUACCUGUAGCACAGACCAGAACAUAUCUUGCAACAUUAAGUCCAACUUCUUCUUGCUGCUAUAUAAUUUAUUACAUAAAAUAACCAUAUAAUUUAUUCCAUAUAAUACCAUAUAAUUUAUUUCAAAAUGAGCAUGUGUGGUUUUUACCCGCUAAGCUGAUUGGUGACUAAGUGAUUGCUUAUAUCUUCCAGUACAUUCCUAGAAAGAAGAUAUGCUAUCAAAAUACCAAAAUUAUGUGGAAUUUUGUUUGUGUUUAGCCCAAAUGAUGUUGCAGUUCAAACCAGCACAGGUGCAUGGUAUUGUGGUCAGCAGGACUUCUCUCAUAUUCGGUUACUUAUGCUUCACUGUUUUUAUCAAUUGAAAUUUUAAUACACAAUUCAAAAAGAGUGUAUGCUUAUUGAAAAACACAUUUUACAGGAACUGCUUCCUCAGAUAAUUACAUAUUUGGCGACAGAGGGUGAGGGGGUGAAGAAAAGCUAUUUUCCCAGCUGCAGCAAAUCCUGCUUAAAAACAACAGUAAUGAGGAAGAGAAAGAGAGAUAUUUGUGAUGGUUUAGAUAUUAGAUUCAGAUAAAUAUGUUUUAUACUAGUCCUCCCUUGAUUUACUUAAGUUUGUAGGGGAGGGGGAUUUGCACAGCUAACUGGAACUCUUGGCAAUAUAUUGAUAUCUCAGAAUCUGUAGUUAUCAUUAUUUUAAGCCAGAAAUACUCAGUGAAUAGUUCAUCUCAUGGCAUUGACACCAUUCAAAUUUUGUCCCAGGACAGAUCCAGGAAAUGAAGAAGUAAAAAAUAGAUCAAAGUUUACUGACUCAAUAAAUUGAAGAAAAGGGAAAAAUUCA